GAUAGCUCAGUUGGUUAGAGAAUGGAGCUGAUAACGGCAAGCUUGCAGGUUCGAUCCCUGAACGGGACA